AAGCUGAGCAGUCGUUGAAAUAAGCAUCUUCUGUUCUGUAUAUUGAGAAUUGAUUCUGCCAGUUUUGGCACAAGCAGCUGUCUUCCUGGACCAGUGCAUAUUCUGCUUCUGUUCUGUGCUGCUAGUAACUGUUUUUUCGAGUUGUGCAAAAUGGAGAUGUUCUUGUCAUAAUGAUUUUCCAGAGGUUUUCAUGUGAUAUGUAUGGGAUGUGGAGAAUCCUGUCGUGAUGCUCCGUAUGAUCUUGGGCUUUUAAUGUAUAGGUUGAUCUGGAAUAGCAACUGAGAUCUUUGUUUCUGUCAUGUUCUGCAAGUGAUAGGAUCCAUUUACAAGAAUAAUUCAGUAAGUGAACUUCCUGUUGUAAAGUCACGCUGGGUUCGGAAUAGGAGCAUCCGUGCUCUAGGAAUACCAUUGGGACAGGGUGAUGUAGUAACACAUAUGAAGUCUGUCAUUUAACCUGGUCAUUACAUCUGUCAUAAAUGUCAGUAAAUCUGCCACUGACCAACCCCUGGUCAAGGUUUUCCUGUGGCUAAUGUUUAAAAUAAUAAUAGUAAGAACUAAUUUCUUAAUUUCAGUGUCUUGAAUAGCCUCCUGCAAUGUAACCCUUCUGUACAGCUGAAACUUUCCUUGCUCAUGUAAUUCUUGUAUAAUUCCAUCGAAGGAUGUAUACUAUAUGAACUCUAAACCUAAGAAGCACCAACAUAUUUGUGAGUAUCCAUGUAGCUGCUGGAAUGCAGGAGAGGUUUGUUCUUGCAAAGUAGGGCCAUCCUAUAAUUUCUUACUAAGAGAUAAAGCUAGAAGUGCAGUCCUGGAAGCAGUUUGGGACAUUACUAUAGAGGGAACUUCUUGCUAAGAUUUGUGCAUUUUUAGCACUGUUUAUCUGUUCACUUGCUUUGCCUUGGACCUUUGGAUGACUGAGAAGACUGAAGGUGAUGGGGUGAGAAGGGUGAGGUUUCAGUGAGGACGGACCUUGAAAGCUUAAUGAUCCUGAGGCCAGAUUUUGAGGAAGAGUGUGCACUUAACAUGGUUUGCUUAGAGGCUGGGAAAACUUUUCAUUAGACAACGCAUUUAUAGUGAAAGUAGCAUAGGAAGGUGAUACUCAUUCCUAUGGAUUGAACACAUUUUUGGCACCAAAAUAUUGUAAAAUCCUUGUAUUGUUAAAUGGGGAAGGCAUUCCUGCACAGGUGGGCAUUAAUUAUUUGCCUGGGAUAGUGAGUACUUGGAAAGCAGCGUCUUGUGCCAGGGGCAUGUAGAACUGAAUCAUAAGUAAUGAAGAAGAGAGAGAGACAUGUCUGAAAAUG